UACGAAGGGGGCUAGCGUUGUUCGGAUUUACUGGGCGUAAAGCGCACGUAGGCGGUUUGUUAAGUCAGGGGUGAAGUCCCACAGCUCAACUGUGGAACUGCCUUUGAUACUGGCAAGCUAGAGUCCGGAAGAGGUAAGUGGAACUCCUAGUGUAGAGGUGGAAUUCGUAGAUAUUAGGAAGAACACCAGUGGCGAAGGCGGCUCACUGGUCCGGUACUGACGCUGAGGUGCGAAAGCGUGGGGAGCGAACAGG
rnacentral:rRNA from 1 species